rnacentral:lncRNA from 7 species
GUGGGGUGUCGCGCCCGCGCUGUGCCGCGAGAGGCCGCGUGCUCGUGCGCCGGUGCCGCCUGCACCGUCGCCGGGUGGCCGCGCGCUUGCGCCGGGCAGCCGCGCCUACCGGCCUGCGCCGAGCCGCCGUGAGGCCGCAUGCCCAAGCCGCCGCCAGGCGCUAACCGCCGCUGCUGUGGAGGUAGUGGCCGGUUAGGGUUUCAUGUCGUCCCUAAUGAGACUGCGCCACUGUGCUUAUGGGCUGCCGUCCAGGCCCAUGUGCGCCCCCACCCCUCGGCCUGGCCAAAAAUGGCCCGCCCCCAGCAAAAGCCUGGGUGCCUAUGACUGGCUGUAUGGGCCUACAUUUUAUCAUUUUAGCUUUUAUCUUUCUGCAAUUUCAGACCUAAUGUUUAUUUGUAUCACAAUUACUAUCAGU